rnacentral:rRNA from 1 species
GAUGAACGCUGGCGGCGUGCCUAAUACAUGCAAGUAAAACGCGGAAGGUGGAGCUUGCUCUUAGGGAUGAGUUGCGUACGGGUGAGUAACGAGUAGGUAACCUGCCUGGUAGCGGGGGAAAACUAUUGGAAACGAUAGCUAAUACCGCAUGACAACAGUUAUUGCAUGAUAACUGCAUCAAAGGGGCAACUACUCCACUACCAGAUGGACCUGCGUUGUAUUAGCUAGUUGGUGAGGUAACGUCUAACCAAGGCGACGAUACAUAGCCGCCCCGAGAUGGGGAGCGGCCACACUGGCACUGAGACACGGCCCAGGCUCCUACGGGAGGCAGAAGUAGGGAAGCUUCGGCGAUGGACGGAAGGCUGACCGAGCAACGCCGCGUGAGUGAAGAAGGUUUUCGGAUCGUAAAGCUCGGUUGUAAGAGAAGAAUGAGUGUGAGAGUGGAAAGUUCACGAUGUGAGGGUAUCUUACCAGAAAGGGACGGCUAAGUACGGG